rnacentral:rRNA from 1 species
GAUGAACGCUGGCGGCGUGCUUAACACAUGCAAGUCGAGCGAAGCACUUUUGCGGAUUUCUUCGGAUUGAAGCAACUGUGACUGAGCGGCGACGGGUGAAGUAACGCGUGGGUAACCUGCCUCAUACAGGGGGAUAACAGUUGGAAACGGCUGCUAAUACCGCAUAAUGCAACGGAAUCGCAUGACUCUGUUGCCAAAGAUUUAUCGCUCUGAGAUGGCCUCGCGUCUGAUUAGCUAGUUGGUGAGGUAACGGCCCACCAAGGCGACGAUCGGUAGCCGGACUGAGAGGUUGAACGGCCACAUUGGGACUGAGACACGGCCCAG